AGGAUGUCCGAAUGGGGAAACCCGGCCCGCAAGGGUCAUCCAUACCCGAAUGCAUACGGUAUGGAAGCAAACCCGGAGAACUGAAACAUCUCAGUACCCGGAGGAAAGGAAAGCAACCGCGACUCCGUUAGUAGCGCCGAGCGAAAGCGGAUUAACCAGUAAAUCAACGUGAGUCGUCUGGAAAGACGGACCACAGAGGGUGACAGUCCCGUAACGUUGUGGCUGGUGAGGCCUAGAGUAGGUUCGAGCUCGUGAAACUCGGAUUGAACAUGGGGGGUCCACCCUCCAAGCCUAAGUACUCCUCAACGACCGAUAGUGAACCAGUAAGGCGACUGAAUGAUGAAAAGCACCCCUAUAAGGGGAGUGAAAAGUACCUGAAACCGUAUGCUUACACAGCGGUCGGAGCCCUCUAGGGGGUGACGGCGUGCCUUUUGCAUAAUGAUCCUGCGAGUUACUCUCUACAGCAAGGCUAAGUCGAACCCCGACGGAGCCGAAGGGAAACCGAGUCUUAAAAGGGCGUCGAGUUGUAGGGAGUAGACGCGAAACUGGUUGAUCUACCCAUGGGCAGGUUGAAGGGAGGGUAAAACCUCCUGGAGGACCGAAGCCUUGAACGUUGAAAAGUUCUGGCAUGACCUGUGGGGAGGAGUUAAAGUCUAAUCAUAACCAGAGAUAUCUCGUUCUCUCCGAAAUAGCUUUAGGGCUAGCCUCACGUUACAUCUUGUAGGGGUAGAGCGACUGAUUGGGGCUGGGGGGCUACCCGCCUACCCACCCCAGUCAAACUCCGAAUACUACAAGACUUGUCGUGGGAGUCAGACUACGGGGGAUAAUCUCCGUGGUCAAAAGGGAAACAGCCCAGAUCGCCAGAUAAGGCCCCUAAACAAACCUAAGUUACUAAGGUAGUCAGAGUGCCGUGACAGCCAGGAUGUUGGCUUAGAAGCAGCCACCAUUUAAAAAGUGCGUAACAGCUUACUGGUCGAGGACUUUGGCGCCGAUAAUGAUCGGGAAUAAGGUUUGUGCCGAAUCUGCGAGCGCGCAAGCGCGGUAGGAGAGCGUUGCUGUCAGCGUUGAAGCCAUCCCGGAAGGGUUGGUGGAGCGGCAGCAAGUGAAUAUGCAGGAUUGAGUAACGAUAAACGGAGUGAGAAUCUCCGUCGCCGAAAGCCUAAGGUUUCCUGGGGAAGGUAAUUCCGCCCAGGGUUAGGCGGUACCUAAGGCGAGGCCGAAAGGCGUAGUCGAUGGACAGCAGGUUAAUAUUCCUGCCCUUAUGUGUGCGGUUGAUCCGGCGUGACGGAUCGUGAAGUUCAGCGGGACAGUGAAGCGUCCAGGCCCUCGGGCCGUUGCUGGGUAGAUCGGUCCCAAGAAAAGCCGUCCGGUGACAAUCACAUAAGCCGUACUAAAACUGACACAGGUAGGCGUGGCGAAAAGCCUCAGGCGCUCGAGAUAAUCGUCGUGAAGGAACUAGGCAAAUUGACCCCGUACGUUCGCAAUAAGGGGGCCCUACUCGUAAGAGAGGGCGCAGAGAAAAGGCUCUGGGAACUGUUUAUCAAAAACACAGCACUGUGCUAACUCGCAAGAGCACGUAUACAGUGUGACUCCUGCCCGGUGCCGGAACGUCAAGGGAGCAGGUUAGCCUUCGGGCGAAGCUUGCGACCGAAGCGCCGGUAAACGGCGGCCGUAACUCUGACGGUCCUAAGGUAGCGAAAUUCCUUGGCAGGUAAUUUCUGUCCCGCACGAACGACAUAACGACUGCCCCGCUGUCUCUAACAACACUCCCGUGAAGUUGAAUUAGUUGUGAAGAUGCAACUAUGUAUAGCUAGACGGAAAGACCCUGUACACCUUCACUAAAGUCAAAUUUUUAGUUAUGCUAGAUGUGGAGAGCUCGAUUUAAGUACAUCUUAGCAUGAAAUUGAAAGUAUAGUUAAGGUGCAUAAUACAAAUAAUGUACUAGAGUUUGACAGUUAGUUUGGCUGGGACGGCAACCUUCUAAAAAGUAACGAAGGUUUAUUAAUAAGCCUUACUUAACCUAAGGGUUACUAUAUUAUAAUAAAUGUGUAAGGCUUGAUUAAGGUAGGUACUCCUAUCUUAAGGGUUAACGCCUGUUAUAUUGAACCGAUUUGUUAACCAGGACUACGAAUCGAUCUACGAAUAAAAGGUACGUCAGGGAUAACAGGCUUAUGAAUUUUGAGAGUUCAUAUCAAUAAAUUCGUUUGGCACCUCGAUGUCGACUCACCGCAUCCUGAUAGCGAAUAACCUAUCAAGGGUCCGGCUGUUCGCCGGUUAAAGCGAUACGUGAGUUGGGUUCAGAACGUUGUGAGACAGUUUGGUCCCUAUCUACUAUACACAAUUAACACAAAAAAUAGGAAUUUACUUUAGUACGAGAGGACUAGGAAGAUCUAGCCAAUAGUGUAAGAGUUGUUUUAAUAAAGCACCCCUCUUAAGCCACGCUAGUUAUCGAUAAUUACUUGUAUAUGAGUAAGAAUUGACCCUAUAUAGUUGU
rnacentral:rRNA from 1 species